UGCCAAUGGAAUUUUGACACCUUUUUUAAAACAGGUAUAAUACUGGCUAUCGUUAUUCAGUUCGUAGCUUUAACAUGGAACCGAAACUCUCUAUACAUUACUAAUGAUUGUAUACCGCAUGAUUUUUUUAAACAAUUGAAAAUUAUUGUUAGGGCACAUUUAGCAGAAAAUGCUUUCUCUUAAUCCGUUGAUAAACUGUAUUAAAAUAGCCAUUUAAAGUCAAAAGAGACUGUUUACUCAGCAGUCAGAGCUGUUCAAUCACCAUCGCCGCCAUCACAGAUACAUGUAUGUUUAAAAGAUCUGUAAAAUAAAUCCCGAUUUUAUUUUGCUUAAUUGAGAAAUCACGUGUUUUUUCUCGGAAUUUAUACCUAUUUAAAAACAUGAUUAAACAGUUAAUCUUGAAAUUAAAACAGUAAAUCUUGAAAAAAAAAAACAAUAUCACACGUCUACGUCCUAUCAAAGCCAUUGGUGCACACACGUUCGCUUGCCACUUAUUCCUGCUGAUUAUCUCGGACAUUCAAUAUACCCUUGGGGCAAAUCAAUGUUACAACUUAGUGAAUACAUUGUUACCUGUGAGCGGUCACAUCUUCGAGCUGUUUGAAUGUUUCCACUAUGAAGAAAGUCAAGACUUAAAACUACUGCGUCAGAAAUGGUACAUCGUGAAUGCAAAGUCUGUCCAUGUUCCCUAAAUUACAAUAACAGUUUAAAACAUAAUAUCAAGAACAAUCGUUUAAUAUAACACUUUGUAAUAGUAUCAGAUUUUGAUGUUCAAGUUACAGACCCUAAUGUCAUUGGUCUCUUUGGUGUACUAUAAAUGAAAUAUGCACGUACCCAUCUGUGUGUACAUUAGAAGUACAAAUUUUGAUUUAAAAUUUUCUCCUUUUGCUAAUUAUAGUAGGUUAAAGUAAUUUGAAGAUUCUUGAAGGGCUUGCCGUAAAGUAAUGUUAAAAAACUAAUUACUUUGAAGGGGGGAUUCUGUUAUAACAACAAAUCUAAUCAAGAUUUCUAACUACGUUUAAAAAAUUAUCAAAAUGUUGUAUUGUAUUUUGACUUAAGUUGAGGGGAAGCUUGGUUUGUGAGGGCAAUGGACCUUAGUACUUGAUUUCAGCCUCUAUUGUCUGGCCUUAAAAGAAAACAAGUUGUAUGUCGUUACAAUUUUAUUAGUGAGAAACCGCAACUCUACACAACAGAAUAAAACAAAUUUAUAAGCAACAAAAAUUCAAUCAAUUUAACAAAAUAUCCUGAAAAAUAAAUAAUUAAUUAAUAACAUUUUAAAUUCCAAGUUAUAACAUCUUAGUUGCGUUUACUUAUAAUACUAUUUCUAAAGCUAAGAUGAUUUGAACUACACAUACGUACCUUAAAAGAAAACAAGUUGUAUGUCGUUACAAUUUUAUUAGUGAGAAACCGCAACUCUACACAACAGAAUAAAACAAAUUUAUAAGCAACAAUAAUUCAAUCAAUUUAACAAAAUAUCCUGAAAAAUAAAUAAUUAAUUAAUAACAUUUUAAAUUCCAAGUUAUAACAUCUUAGUUGCGUUUACUUAUAAUACUAUUUCUAAAGCUAAGAUGAUUUGAACUACACAUACGUACCUUAAAAGAAAACAAGUUGUAUGUCGUUACAAUUUUAUUAGUGAGAAACCGCAACUGAGGUUGUCAGGGCUCGCAUGGCCAUUUUAUACCCCAGAACCGGUUUCCAUGACGUUUCCACAACUUGUUAACUUUCUUAGUACCCAUGUGACUUGACCGCAUGUGGUCAUCCUGUGAUCACUGUUUCAUAAUCUUAAUUAAAAGUUUACUCCUUUGCCAAAUUUCCAAAUUCUUACUUCAUAACACCAAUAUCAGCAUUGGCUUAUAAUAAUAAACUUUAUCGAAAUUCAACAUGUUUAUCUUUAUUCAAACAGUGAUCACGUACAUGAAAUAUUUGAUGAAUCAAUUAAUAAUCCUAGUGCUUGGUCCCAAUACUUAAAUGUAAUCAAAAAUUAGGUAACAUGUUGACCAUCUUUUUAAUGCUGACUAUCUAGAAUACACAAUUUGUAAACACGGAUCAAGAAUAUUCCACUACUGACGUAUAAGUUAGGUAACUUUUGACCUUGCACUAGAUAUGAUAUAAGAAAUAGGACCCUAAACAUCAAUGAAUGCUAUGAAUAUAUAGUCAAAUAUAAAAAUAAUAUAAAAAUUCUAUAUUAAAAACCCUUCUUCUGUCAUGUUGUGAAUUUUGAAUUUACUGGGUGGGUGUAAAUACAAAAUUUACAACAUGACACUUCUGUCGUUUACAUAUUCGCGUUUAACACUG
rnacentral:sRNA from 1 species